rnacentral:rRNA from 1 species
GACAGAGGGUGCAAACGUUGUUCGGAAUUACUGGGCGUAAAGGGCGCGUAGGCGGAAUGGCAAGUCGGUCGUGAAAUCCUUCGGCUCAACCGAAGAACGUCGAUCGAAACUGCCGUUCUUGAGGAUUGCAGAGGAGACUGGAAUUCCCGGUGUAGCGGUGAAAUGCGCAGAUAUCAGGAGGAACACCGGUGGCGAAGGCGGGUCUCUGGGCCGAUACUGACGCUGAGGAGCGAAAGCGUGGGGAGCGAACAGG